rnacentral:rRNA from 1 species
UGGGGAAUAUUGGACAAUGGGCGGAAGCCUGAUCCAGCAACGCCGCGUGAGGGAUGACGGCCUUCGGGUUGUAAACCUCUUUCAGUACCGACGAAGCGAAAGUGACGGUAGGUACAGAAGAAGGACCGGCCAACUACGUGCCAGCAGCCGCGGUAAUACGUAGGGUCCGAGCGUUGUCCGGAAAUUAUUGGGCGUAAAGGGCUCGUAGGCGGUUUGUCGCGUCGGGAGUGAAAACAGCGGGCUUAACUCGUUGCUUGCUUUCGAUACGGGCAGACUAGAGGUAUGCAGGGGAGAAUGGAAUUCCUGGUGUAGCGGUGAAAUGCGCAGAUAUCAGGAGGAACACCGGUGGCGAAGGCGGUUCUCUGGGCAUUACCUGACGCUGAGGAGCGAAAAGUGUGGGGGAGCGAACAGGAUUAGAUACCCUGGUAGUCCACACCGUAAAACGUUGGGCGCUAGGUGUGGGGUCCUUUCCACGGAUUCCGUGCCGUAGCUAACGCAUUAAGCGCCCCGCCUGGGGGAGUACGGUCGCAAGAUUAAAACUCAAAUGAAUUGACGGGGUCAUAGCUGUUUU